rnacentral:lncRNA from 1 species
GUAGAAACCUGCCCAGCCAGUUAAAUGAAAGGCAUAUUAGGUUAUCCAUUGCACACAGUACAUAGCUUAGAUGCAACAGAACUCUUCCACAUAGCAGGAGUGUCUAGCAAACUCUAGUGUGGUCCAGCGAGGUGGCAUCCACUGAUUUAACAUUUAUAUUCACAGCUUCAGGGAAAGUGAGGCGUGAAACACCAUCUGCUUUUGACCAAGAGCAGAGGUUUCCUCAAUAAACUGAAGGGCUGUUGCUAUAUUGUAACAAUCUUAUAUGGUCAAUCUAAUUGUGGAUAAAAGAAUAAUUGCCUUUUUUAAGGCAAAAGAAAAAAGGAUUGGCUUGCUUGGUGAUCCUAAGUACAUUAGAGGACCAAUUCACAGGAAGAAUUAAGGAGUGUGAAAAACAAAGACUGGAAUCUGGUAAAAUCCUACCUGACUGAUGCUUCUAAAUUUAGUAAUUUUAGUCCAGUCCAAGUGGAUUCUGAAAAAUAAUCACUUGUAAUUGUUUUACUUUUACAAUGAAGAGAAAGGAGAGUACAUUGAAAAACAUGUGGGCUUCUGAGCCAAGCUGACAUGUGUUUGAAUAUUGACUCUGCUAAAAACUAUAAUUGUGAAUUAUUUAACUUUCUAAGUUCUCUUUUCUCCAUCUUUAAAUUAAGGAAACUAAAAUCAUUCAUUAAGAGUUGUUAAAUUAGGGUUGGGGAUGUAGUUCCUUGGUAGAGUGCUUGAGUCACCUGUACAAACCCAAGGUUAGAUCCCCAACAUCACAAAAGAAAAAAAACGGG